rnacentral:siRNA from 1 species
UGUUUUCAUUUCUAUUGCAGUCA